UGGAUUUGGAUAGGGUGGCUGGGCAAUGAGCUUUAGGAAUCUGUGGCUCUCAGCAUUGGGUCACAGAUACAUAACCAGUACAUGGGUCAUUACCAGCGGAGCCAUCUCUUGAGCUCCAAGUUUAGGCUUCUUACAACAUGAAACCAAAAGGUAGAGAAAGGGAACUGGCAGGAGUGAGGGAUCCCAAUUAACAGAAGAAAUCUGGAGUGCUGCUAUUCAAUGGAAUGAAUGAUAUUUGGAAUGUAGGAUUUCUCACCAAGGUUCCUCUUUAUGGUCUCUGACCCAGAGAACUAAUCUACUAGUCCACUAUAUAUAGGGGAGGGGAGAGGGGGAUGGAUUAAUCUCUUAAGGGCCUCAACUAUGACCUAGAUCAUACCGCAAUGUAUGUUUUAGUCAUCCUACCUUAGUAAAGAAUUCUAUUCAACUUAGUUGGCAGAGUGAAAGAAUAUGCAGUAAACAAAAGCAAGUAUGCAUACAAAUUUAGACAAUAUGAUCAGCUGCUUGAAAACCGAGCUUGGCUGGUAUGAUGGCACAUACCUUUAAUACCAGCACUCAAGAAGCAGAGGCAGUCGAAUCUCUUUGAAUUAAGAGGGCAAGCCUGGUGUGGUGGUGCUGCCUUUAAUCCCAGCACUCGGGAGGCAGAGGCAGGCAGAUUUCUGAGUUCGAGGCCAGCCUGGUCUACAGAGUGAGUUCCAGGACAGCCAGGGCCAGGGCUAUACAGAGAAACCCUGUCUCAAAAAACAAAAGAAAAGCGAGAUUAUUUUGUUAUUUUUCUUUAUCAUAUGAGAGGCUAGACCAAGGCCAUUAGCACACUAUGCUCACCAGGCUUUAGUUGGGGCCUAAGAUGAUUCAGGCCCUAUAAGCUCUGGUCUAUUUUUAUCUAUAAUAAUGGACCAAAUAUGAGUUGAUGAGAGUCAUCAUAGAGAAUGAGAAGAAUGCUGAUGUUAGAGUCACAGGGCUGAUAAUUACACAGAUCUGUCACCUCUGGUAAGUCACUUAGCCUGUCUGAUGCUGCUUCCUUAUUUAUAACUAGUCACCUCAUAGGUCCUCAGUAAAUAUUUGGAUGAAAUAUUAAUCAAUUCUAGUUAACCUAUGGAAUCAUCAUAUUAGUGAUAAAAGUGCAUAAUAAAAUUUAAAAUGCAGUGUAUACUAGAGAUUGGUGAAGGAAAAGUAUGAAAGACAGAGAUGAAUAUAUUGAGCCUUAAUGACUAGAAAUAUGUAUUCACCCCAGACAGGCUAGCUAAGAUAGGGACUGAUUUUUGAAAACCAAGACUAGGGUUAAAGAAAAAACAGAUUUUAAUUGAAGAAAUUCCAGCAGGCAAUUGAUAACACAUUGAUUUAAUAAUUUUAAUGAGAUUUUUUAAUCUUCAGAAAUUUUUACGUUAUUAAAAAGAUGUUACCUCUAAGAGGAUCUAUAGUCUCAUUGAAAGACAAAAAUUCAGAGACUACUAAGAUCCAUCUGAUUUGUAAAAUUGAUUGGCAAAGUGAUUAUAUAGGGCAUUUAACUAAUAAACAUUUGCUAGGAAAAGAUGAAGGUGAGGAGGAGAUGUGUUGAAUGGUCUGAGAGGUAGUGUAUAUAUCAACAUACAUUGAAUACAUGUAUGAGUUGUCAAAAAUACUUUCUAGGUUCUUCCCAUUCAAUACUAGGCUGCAAUUCAUGAUACCAUGUUAGUUGUCACCAGUAAUAACUUAGGGUACUUAUAUCUCAGAAGCUGGGUCUGGAAUUUUGAUCUGACUCACAUAGAUGACUUCUGUUCCUUGUGCCAUUGUUUUGAGGCUCUCCAGCAGUACUCAGUGAUAACCUUGGCUUGAGGCCCUUCAUUCACCUGUCUGAUACGUCUCUUGAGCAUGGUCAGACUAUCCUGGCCUCCCUGGCUAAGGAGCAGGAAGUAAGGGCUUGUAAUUAUUUAAGGUCUGGUUGUAGACAUAGAGAAGCAUCAUUUUUACUGUAUUCUGCUGGUCAUAGUCAUUACAGAAACAAUCUCAACUCACGGGGAAAAGACAGACCCCAUGAGAAAUAGAAAAAAAAAAACAAACUUGCUUCAGAGAAUCACUUUUCAACUUGUAUAAUCAGUUUCCUCUUGGCUUGCAUGCAUGGAGGAGCUCCUGAAAGGUAGCCACUGCUCACCUGCAUGUUACCUGCCUUAUUUCUUGCAGUUCUCUUAUGCCUACGCGUUUGAAUAUGUCCUCCAAAGUUCUUGUGUUGAAAGCAAUCCUCAAUUCAGCUGUCACUGAAGGAUAGUGUGUAAUGGGUGGUGGUUAGGUGGUGAGGCCUUUGCCUUCAGGAAUGGAUUAAAGGCAUCCAGUGAGUGGGUUGGUUCUCAAAAGAUGAAGUUUAUAGCCUGUACCUUUUCUCUGGGUCUUACGUGUGUUUGCUGGUCUUUCAGCCAUGUUAAGAUAAAGAAGGAAGACCUUCACAAGAUGGGACCCUGAGAUCUUGGAUUCCCUAUCUUUGAGAAACAUGAACUAUUUGGAGAAACUUGUUAAUAACUUAAAAAAAUCAAAUGUAUGAUGUUUCUUUUAAAUGUGUAUAUAUAGAGACACAGAAUGUAAGGUAGUUCUGUUCUUCUUUAAAAUGGAAGUUUCUCCUGGUGUGGACAAGCUGCCUUAGCUCUACCUCAGCCUUUGUGGUUAUGUGUAAGCUGCCAUAGCAGUCCACUAACUGGCUGCUGGGAACUUUGGGUAGCAGCACUUAAUACAUUAAAAACAAAAUCUCAAAAAAAAUGUCUCCUAAUGUAUUUUUUCGCUCUUCUUAUGUUAAUUUGAAACAGAAUCUCUUGGAGUCCAGACUAGCCUCAAACUGUACCAAAACCAGCUUUGAAUUCUGAUCCUCCUUCUGCCUGCCAAGUGCUGGGAUUAAAGGCGUGCGCCACCACCGCCCGGCCCGUUUUAUUUUAAUUUCCUUUAAAUGAAUACAACUUUUGUUGUAUAGAAUUUUGGUUUUCUGUAAAUAUUUUAUUUUUCUAUUUUGUUUUCACACCCAGCACAAGUUUAUGAAUAACAUCUUUUCGAGUUCUACCCUAAAUACAUAUAUUUUUACACUGUUGCCUGAGUUCCCAGAAAUGAGUUAGCAUUUCCUCUUAUUUAGUAGUAAGACUUGAGUUUCUCAACCUUAGGGAACCUUGAAAAACAAAAGUCAACAUUGUAAACUUUAUUCUGUAGCAAAAGUUUUAUGAAGUUGAGUUCUCCAGUAACUGCAGCUUUAGUUGUUUCUGUAAAUCAGUGAAGUUUGGAGAGCUCUGUCAUCAUAGAUAAAUCUGAUAAUUUUAUUAUGUGAAAGAAAACAGAAAAGAGGGCCUUCUGUGUAACUCAAAUAAAGUGCUAGAUGCCUCGUCAGGGAAAAGUGACUGCCACCAAGUCUGACAAUCUAAACUCAAUCUCCAGGACCUACCAUGGGAAAGAUGGGAAAGAGAGAACUGACAUUUGACAAUUGCCUUCUGACCAUGGCACACAUGGCCACACAGAAGAAAAAAAACAAAAAACAAAAAACAAAUAUUUUAAGACCUGG
rnacentral:lncRNA from 1 species